rnacentral:rRNA from 1 species
UACGUAGGUGUCAAGCGUUGUCCGGAUUUAUUGGGCGUAAAGCGCCCGCAGGCGGCUUGCCAAGUUCGAUGUGAAAUCUCCCGGCUUAACUGGGAGGGUGCAUCGAAAACUGGCAGGCUUGAGGCAGGGAGAGGGAUGUGGAAUUCCAGGUGUAGUGGUGAAAUGCGUAGAGAUCGGGAGGAACACCGGUGGCGAAGGCGGGUCUCUGGGCAUCUCCUGACGCUGAGGCGCGAAAGCGUGGGGAGCAAACGGG